ensembl:lncRNA
AAGCAUGUUGACAAAAACCCAAUAGCAAAAACACAACAGGAAGUUGUUUUCUGCACAAUUGGAUGCAAUGACAUAGUGAUGCAGGAGCUGGGGAAUAAUUCCUUCAGGUUUUAUAAUCCUUUAAGUGGCAUUGGCUGUACUCUAUAGAAGCCACCAGACACAUACACAAAGCAGCUCUGUGCUGUAUACCUGCAUGAAAAUAAGCAGGGGUUGUGGGACAGGAGUAAAGGUGAAAAAAAAUCCUCCAGCCCCAUGUCUCUGUUUCUCCUGCAUGAUUUGGUAAAUGGCAAAAUAUUACAAUUUUGAAGAUAACCUGAGUUCUGCCACAAAAGUUGAAUCUCCCCUGGGGACAGUAUUUUUCCUUAUUAUAUUUCCUUUUAUAAUCACUUAUGUUUAUUUGUUCUCUUGACAGUUCCCAAAUUCUUGUUCUUUGAUAUCACAGAGUAAACAAAUGCACAGUCCUGGCAAAUGAACCUGUGCAGUCUGUGGGAUAGAGGAGUACAGAUCAUGAAUACAUCACAAAGCUGACUGGACCCUAGACCAUCUUAUCCACUGCACUGGGGCUGUUGCCAGUGAUUGAACAUCCUUUGGAACAACCACAAUUUCAACUGUAAUCUCUUCCUUGUAGCUUGCAACAGGUAUUAAAUCAAACCAGUAUUUACAAAGAUAAAGAGCUGUAUCCAGCAUUCAGAAGAAGCUCUGUGAGUUUGCACAUUUGAGCUAUGUGCCACAGUCAUGCCUGAGUUUGGAAGGAAUAUGACCACAUCAAGGAAAGUACUCCAAACUGGAUUUGACUAAAACUCAAAAGAUGGACUAAUCUGAAUACCACAGAACUGAACAGUGGAUAAUGUUGCGGGUACAAAUGGCAGUCUCACCACUGAGAAGAAAACAAGCUGUAUAUCAUUAGGGGUUUAUCUGUUGUAUCCCCUGCCAUGAUUUUUGUGGGGCUGGUCCUACACAGAUUUUAACUCUUGCUGUGGUUUUUGUUACAUAGUCAGUUCAUGUUAUGAUGAAGACAGAAAGAAGGGAAAGAUGCCUGUGAUAUCUCAAGGACAUUUUCAUCAAAGAUGCCCAGAGUCAGUCUAGUUCAAAGAGCUAAGAAGGACAGCCAGUGAUUCUGCUUACUGAACUGAUGAAUCCCAAUAGUUUCUUAUCAGCCAUCUGACCUGCUUUCUUCUCUGGCAACACACUAAUUCAUAUUAAAUCUGUAUAUGGUGCAAAGUGUCGUGUUUCAUUAUCUGGGUAAGUCCCGGGAUGGGCAGAGUGCAGCAGCAUACAGUGCUGGGGAGGGGGAUGUGGGGGCAGCCUUCACUGCUAAUGCAGAGCUGAGAACAAGCAGCUUUGACUUGGCUGAGUCUAUCUGCCAAACUAGUGACUUCUGCUGGGAAACAGAACUUUCCCCCUCUUUCUUUAGAUCCCAGCUGAGCUUCAAUGCUCUGUGUUUCUCUCUAACAGGAAAGCUGUCUUCUCUCCUCCUCUGCCAUCUGUGCUCCAUCCUUAUUCUCACAUGUGACUUACUGUAGCUGCAGCCUCAUUAACUUUCAAUACUUGCAGCCUAACACGACUUAACUGGGGGGCUUGAAAGGAGAGGUAGGGC